rnacentral:lncRNA from 1 species
UUUGCAUCGUAAACUGAUAUUCAUUAAUUAAAGGGUAUGGCUCAAAAACAUAUUUGACAGAACAAAUAACCCCAAAGAAAAGAAAUGACAAAAAAGUAAAACAUGUCUAACAAAACAAGCAAAGAAUACAGAAAUGCAAAACCAGAAAACGAAACGCAGCCACAAAACCAAACCCCCUAAAGAAAACCCAACGAAGAAUAUCAGCCAAAAAUCUUUCCUUUCAACACUAGAAAUCCAUCGCAGCUCGAAGCAUGAAAGAAAAUAGUUUUGAAAGCCAACUAUGGAGAUUCAAAAGAACCUUCUCCAAUCUUCAAAGCCCGACAACAAAUCAUCAUCGCUGAUGGAGCCAAUCCAUCCGAUCCUAUUCCACCAGUUUUUCAACAGAAUCUGGUGCCUCCUCAACCCAGAAACAUGAAGUGUGUCGCUGACGCCCAUCCAUCACCAGAGCAUGCGCCACCCUGUUUACUUCUCUUCGGACAAAAUGGUAAGCAAUUUCCUCAAAAUAUCCCUCUAACAACCGAAUACUCUGUGAAAUUGGUCUGAGUAUAGAUCUGUCCUCUCUUUUUUAUUUAAGCCUCUUGAUAAUCGUUACGGAAUCCCCUUCCAGUAUGAUCUUCCUGGAACCCAUGUCAAAUGCAAAACAAAGAGCUCUUUUACAAGCCCGAGCUUCUACAACAAAAGCAUCUGCAACACCUAUAUAAGGGUAAGUACAUGCACUCAUUAUUUGGCCCUCUUCAUUUUGAGUUAAGACUGCUGCAAAGAGAAUUUGAGACCUUCAUGUACCAGCUUGUUUCGUUUUUACCACAGAGCCCAGAAAGAUAUAGUUAAAAUUUUCCCGGUAUUCUCAUCCCUGCAAUUAAAGUACUUACUAAUUGUGUUUUUCCAUCCGAGGUAUUCCUGCUUGGGUCGAAUGACAGGUUCAAGAGCAGCCAAAAUUGUCGCAAAACACCACAGGACCACAUUAAAUGGUCCAAAUCCUCUUGGGCCUCCUUGCACAAGGGACAGACAUUAUCAACACUUAGUCUCCGUUUGGCCAAAUUAUUAAAAUGAGGCACAUAAUCCUUGAGUAAACACCACAUAUGAAUUUUAAUUUUAGAAGGGAGCUAUAAAUCCUAAAGCAAUUUGUAAAAAGUCUUGUAAUUGUCAAUUGUAUUCAAAUUACAUUCAAAAUGCUGAAUCUUUCUUAUAAAUAAAGCCCGAUACCCACUCUUCACCGAAUACUCCCCUGACAUUGUGGCACCAAACCAACAUAUCCUUGUCUCUGGAGCUUGCAAUUAGAAUAUUUAAAAUGCAACUAGCUUGUUCGCGAUCAACAAUCCUGCAAAUCACCUCCUUGUUCUAGGUACUCGAAUCCACAUCAAUUAAUUGAUUCACUGUUGACUAGCGAGUAUCAAUAUUCUGAACUAACAAUCUACCAUUACCAGGACCAGGCAACCAAGGAUCAUUCUAGAUAUUCACACCCGCGCCACUGCCGAUUCGCCAAAGUAAACCAUCAUCAAUCAAUUCCCUAGCACUGCAGAUGUUUCUCUAGGUAAAAGAGGGGUAAGAACAAACUUUUGCUGACAUAAUACCUUUGAAAGGGUAAUAACGAGCUUUAAAGACUCUUGCUAAAAGACAAUCGGGCUGGGAUAGAAGUCGCCAAACUUGUUUAGCUAAUAGGGCUUUAUUGAACAAAAAUAGGUCCCGAAAUCUCAGUCUGCCAUCAGCUUUGGGAAAACAAAGUGCACUCCAAUUGCUCCAAUGAAUUCCUUUGGUUGUUUUAGAAUUAGACCACCAAAAUUUAUUCAAAAUACCUUCUAGCUGUUGGCAUAAGGUUUUCGACAAAACAAAACACUGCGUAACGUAAACAAGAAUUGCUUGAAGCAUCGCUUUUAUAAAAACUUCCUU